rnacentral:lncRNA from 1 species
UUCCCAGGCUAGGGGUCGAAUCAGACCUGUAGCCACUGGCCUACACCGCAGCCACUGCAACAUCAGAUCUGAGCCUUGUCCGUGACCUAUACCACAGCCCAUGGCACUGGCCACAUCCUUAGCCCACUGAGGGAGGCCAGGGAUCGAACCCAAGUCCUCACAGAUACCAGUCAGGUUCAUUACUGCUGAGCCACGGUGGGAAAUCCCCAGACUUCCUCUAUUGAUGGGCAGAUCUAUCUUCCUAGGCAGGGUGGGUUGAUAGACUGAUAACGGGGAAACCUGACCCUUCUUACCCAAGGCUCCUCCCUCCAGCUAGUCUGGGUUCUGUCAUCACCACACAGCAUCUAGCGAGGGUGCAAAGCCAGACACCAGGGAGUGCUGAGGAUACCCAGAGGGUGUGAGCGUGGACAUGCCCUCAUGCAGAAACAGCCAAAUACUGAAUUAUAAUACUUCUCUAGCAUUUGCAUUAAGACAGGAUGGAUAUGAACACAGUUACAGGAAAAUCCAUAAGAAUCCGAGGCUGCUUACAUUGAAGCCACGCUUUGUGUCAAUUGGGAAAAUCCUAACAAGGCGUUUUAAAUUCGUGUGAAAAAUGUAUUAUGUUUUAAAUCUGAGAACUCCCAGUAGCUUCACAAACAAGCCUUCACUCAUCCAGCUACGUCUUUAAGUGGAAGCCAUGUUCCAUGAGUGUUUUUUGAGCACCUAUGGUCUGUGUGGGAUGCUCCGAAGGAUAUAAAGAUGUGUAAGAUGGUCUUUGCCCUCAAGAAACAGAGAGUCUUGGAGUUCUCUUGUGGCGCAGUGGGUUAAGGAUCUGGGUUGUCGCUGCAGCGGCUUGGGCUGCUGCUGCGGUGCGGAUUCGAUCGCUGGUCUGGGAAUUCUUAAGUGCGGUGGGCGCAGCCAAAAAAAGACAGAGGAAAAAGGAAAUGCAGACUCUAGGAGAGAAGAUCAGCUACGUGUACAAGACACACAUACGUAGAAAGUGAGGUCCUGAGAGGCACAGGUAGCCGUGCUGUGACAUGGACAGGCAGGAGACGCCGCCGCCAAGUGCCUGUAUGAGAGCACCAAGGGGCAGACAGCCUUUGAGCUGGGCCUUGAAGGAUGUGGAAAAUGUGGCCGUGCCAGGAAGUAGGGAGAAGAAAUUCUGGGCACCCUGCCCACAGCCCUGAGACAUGGGGGAAAAAUGUCUGUAGACGCUGACCUCUUAGAAGGCAGGGACUGGGUUCUGGCCAGUGGUUUAUUCCCAGCUUGGCCACGGGUGGCUCACGGUAAACAUUAGCGAAGGAACAGGGGCCGUGAGUUUCUUGCAGAGAGGAAGCGAGGUGUGGGCUCUGUGUUGCCCGAGGCCCUUUUAUUGUGCUCACAUGCUUCUUGCAGCCGCCCUUCCAGGGGCCAGCGAAGAGGCCAGAGCCAUUAUUGUUGGUGCACUUAGUGCAGGACCAGCCAACCGGGAGCAGUGAACAGGGUUCUCAGGAACGGGUAGGAGGGUUUGUGAAUAUCCUUUCUUGGAAAUGAGCUGAACAACUGCAAGGGGCAGACAGUGCAGCCCGGGACCGGGAGGCAGCCUUGAGGACCAGCGAGGGAUACUCCCUUGGCUCUGGUGGCGAUUGUGUCUGCUCUUGGCUCUUCUUUUUCGAUGGCCCUCUCUUCCCUGGAGAUAGCUCUCUCCCAUCUGUGACCCACCUGCAGGUGGGAAACGAGGUCCACCACACAGGCAGAUUGCCAGGCCUCAGCUGUUGCCAAGGAUGAGGCUGGCUCAGUGGCGCCACCUUCAGGCUGACUUCUAGGCCUGGCCCGGGGCCCGCCCGGUGCCUGCCUGGUGCCAGGAGCCACCACUGAAGCAGACCACUCAGAGCAGCUGUUCAGUGACCUGGGGAGUAGAGAACUGCCUUAGGACCUGGGAUGGGAGGGUUAUUCGAUGAAGGCAGAGCAGAGAAAAUUGAGAGGAGAAUGGCUGGAGGACAGGGCAGAGCCUCCCGGUCCUGUUUAGAUGUCGCCUGAGAUCCUCAGUUGCAUGCAAAGGGAGCAGUCAUCCUCGGAACACGGCAGCUAGGGAGAGGUUAAGUGGGUGCCACCAAAGAGGGGGGGGCACAACUGACUGCCUGUUUUGUCCCUAGCUGUGGGACGGUGCGGGACUUCUGGGGGCCACGGAUGUGCCUUUCCCUGGACGUGACCCAAGGCGAGCUUCUUAUACCAUCUUCCCAGCAGCCUCGCGUCCACCCUGGAGCCCGGCUCUUCCUCCCCGUGCUGCCUUCUCCUGUUUGCUCCUGCUCCCCGGGUUCAGGUAAGUGCCUGCAGGAGUGUCAGGAUUCCUGGUUGGCCCCCGCCAUGGAGGCCUCCAUAUGCCUACCUCAGAGGCAUGAUAAUUCCUUACAAUUUACAACAGCUCCGAGUUCCCGUCAUGGCUCGGCGAAUUACAAACCCGGCUAGUGUCCAUGAGGAUUCAGGUUCAAUCCCUUGGCUCGCUCAGCGGGUUAACGAUCCAGGGUUACCAUGAGCUGUGGUGUAGGUCACAGACUGGGCUCGGAUCCUGCAUUGCUGUGGCUGUGGUGCAGGCCAGCGGCUGCAGCUCUGAUUCAACCCCUAGCCUGGGAACCUCCAUAUGCAGUGGGUGCGGCCCUAAAAAGCAAAAAAAGGAAAAACUUACAACAGCUGGAAUGUCUUAUUUUGCGACUUUCCCUUUCCCAUCUGAGGGAUCUGAGUUUUUAGGUUUGGGUCGAAGGGCCAAAUGGCAGCACCCAGCCCAGAGGUCUUUCCCCUGUCGCGGCUGUCACCAAAGGGGUACCAUCUGCCUCUCAGGAAGAGCACGGUCCUGGGCCAACCUGCAGUUAAAGCAGGGCUCCCCUUCUCCCCAUCUCAGCCAGAAUUUCCUGCCCAUUUUCCUGAGUUUUCCAGCUCAGCUUCUCUGUCAUUGGACAUAUUUGGCCAGAGCCUCUCACUCUCACGCCCUUGCUGGUCGCCCUCGCUAGUCACUGACUUGUUGCCAUGGCAGCAGCCUGUCCCAGAGCUGGCGCCCCUCCCCUUCCCCGCCAGGUUUGCACGUUCCCAGGCAGUGGCCCUGGAGAGCUGGGACACGGCAGGGGAUGCCCUACCCAGGCUUGAGCGCCAAGAGUUCGAGAGCUGUUUUCCCAGAGGGCCGGGCGGCAAGUUGGCCAAAUCUGCCCCGUGGGAUUCUCUGGCUGGGUGUAAUGCCACAGCCCACCCCACUGGUCCCCCUGCUGGCCGCUCAGUGAGCCUUGGAGGUCAGGGUGGGAAGGUCAGGGUGGCAGGAGGGGCACGCAGAGCAAGCCCAGGCCGAAAGCCAGGCCCCGCCUGCUGGCCUAGGUUGAGCCAGACAUGGUUGGGGUGGCGGCGGCAGGCUGGGUGAAGGAGGCUGCUCCUAGGGGCCGGGGUGGCAGAAGGAGCUGGUUGCAUGGACCCUCCUCUUGGAUCUUCAUACGGCCCGAGAAGGCGUGGAGCUGGGCAGCUGCGCCCAGGGCGGCAGCCACCUAUCUCCGCAGGCUGCGUGCUGCUGUGCGGCUCAUCUCCUGGCUUGGUGGACUUGACACCAAGGUCCCUGACUUGCUCCACGGCUUCUGUCCUCACUGGUGGCUCAGCUCGAUGCUUCCUCCAGCCCCGUCCACAGUCUGAUUAUCUCAGUGUUCCAGAUGUUCCUGUGCUGGGCUGAACUCUGCCUCAUCAGAAUGUCCACCCUUCUCCCAACCUCAGGCUUUUAUUUUCGACACAGAAACGGGAAACUGGGGGAAGGGAGGCUGAGUGCCAUGGCGAUAGAGCGAGUGGUCUGAGGGCAGCAGAUGGAAUUAUUGGGGGUCAGCGGGAUGCCUGAGCUGGUAAGCAGAGGCCCUCGCCCAGGGACUGCUGGGUGUCCUGUAUGGCGGCUGCGCUGACUGGAGCAAGGCCUACAGGCUGGCCCACAGCCAGAUGUGCCUGUCCCGCUGUGCCCUUUCCUGCUCCAGCACCCCCACCACCCCCCCGCCCUCGCCGUGCUUUUUCAUCUCUUCCGGCUCUUCCUCCACCCUGGCACACGCACACCUGAGCCGCUGAGCGGCCCCUUCCUUGGCCUGCGCUGCAGGCCUGUGCUCUGGGCAGGUGCCUGAUUCCUCUCCUUACAGGGAAAAAAGGACGCAGAAAAGAGAGGGGCUUAGGGUAAGAGGCAGAGUGGAAGGGAGCCUUCAACCAGGCUGAAGGGACACUGCCCGGGAUGGACUGGGGCUACCAGGCAGCUCUAAGGGCCUGGGUUGGGGGCCAGGCGAGGCUGGUCCGGGGAGAAUUCUGUUUCUAGUUGGACGCUGUUUGACAGCCCGAGGGCCUGUGAAGGAUCCCUUUGACCGGAGGCCUGGGGUAAAACUAGACCUCUUCCUUCUUCUCGUAGCUCCUCUCUGAGUCUUGAGCUGCAAACUGGCCUCUCCUGCUGACUUUCCCAUUUCCGCUCUUCUGGGCCCAGGCGUCCACCUCAGGGUGAUAGCUCUCACUUUCCACGUCUAAUCAGUUAUCAAAUGCUGAAGGUCCCUCGCAAGACAGUUGCCUUUUAUUUCCCCUUCCUCCGCCCAGCCCACGUGCCUGCUCCCACGCCCGGGCCACUGUGAUAGCCUCCCAGCCGUGACGGCCUCUGGUCUGUCCAGAGUCACGUCUGGAGUCAUCUUUCAGGAGGAUGGCGUCACUGCACAUGUUACUCCCACGCUUCGUUUUGUGUUUUUUUUUUUCUUGGCUGCACCCAAGGUGUAUGGAUGUUCCUGGGCCGGGGAUCGAAUCCAAGCCACAGCUUCGGCAGCAUGGGAUCCUCAACCUGCUGCACCACAGCAGGCACUCUGUUAGUCCCAUGUUCAUUGCCUUCCGUGGUGCUCCUUAUGGCUUGCUCGGUGCACUACAGACUUGUGGCGCAGCGGGAAUGAAUCUGACUAGGAACCAUGAGGUUGCGGGUUCCAUCCCUGGCCUCGCUCCGUGGGUUAAGGAUCCAGCAUUGCUGUGGCUGUGGUGUAGGCUGGCGGCUGUAGUUCCUAUUUGGCCUCUAGCCUGGGAACCUCCAUAUGCCGCGGGAGCGGCCCAAGAAAUGGC